GAUGAACGCUGGCGGCGUGCCUAAUACAUGCAAGUCGAGCGAACAGAUAAGGAGCUUGCUCCUUUGACGUUAGCGGCGGACGGGUGAGUAACACGUGGGUAACCUACCUAUAAGACUGGGAUAACUUCGGGAAACCGGAGCUAAUACCGGAUAAUAUUUCGAACCGCAUGGUUCGAUAGUGAAAGAUGGUUUUGCUAUCACUUAUAGAUGGACCCGCGCCGUAUUAGCUAGUUGGUAAGGUAACGGCUUACCAAGGCGACGAUACGUAGCCGACCUGAGAGGGUGAUCGGCCACACUGGAACGGAGACACGGUCCAGACUCCUACGGGAGGCAGCAGUGUGGAAUCUUCCGCAAUGGGCGAAAGCCUGACGGAGCAACGCCGCGUGAGUGAUGAAGGUCUUCGGAUCGUAAAACUCUGUUAUUAGGGAAGAACAUACGUGUAAGUAACUGUGCACGUCUUGACGGUACCUAAUCAGAAAGCCACGGCUAACUACGUG
rnacentral:rRNA from 1 species